rnacentral:ncRNA from 2 species
UAUAAAUAUCGACAAAUUACUCAUAUAGUUCCCAUAAUAAGGUUGGGGAGUUUCUACAGAAGACCGUAAAGCUUCUACUAUGAGUGAAAGUGCGGCUAGG